rnacentral:rRNA from 1 species
UACGUAGGUGACCAGCGUUGUCCGGAUUUACUGGGCGUAAAGAGCGCGCAGGCGGUCGUUCAAGUCGAGUGUGAAAGCCCCCGGCUCAACUGGGGAGGGUCACUUGAUACUGAUCGACUCGAAGGCAGGAGAGGGAAGCGGAAUUCCCGGUGUAGUGGUGAAAUGCGUAGAUAUCGGGAGGAGCACCAGUGGCGAAGGCGGCUUCCUGGCCUGUUCUUGACGCUGAGGCGCGAAAGCUAGGGGAGCAAACGGG